rnacentral:rRNA from 1 species
GACGAACGCUGGCGGCGUGCUUAACACAUGCAAGUCGAACGCGCCUGUCCUCUGGGUUUCUGGGGGGUGGGUGAGUGGCGAACGGGUGAGUAACACGUGAGUAACCUGCCCCCUUCUUCGGGAUAACGGUCUGAAAGGGCUGCUAAUACCGGGUAUUCACUGGUCUCCGCAUGGGGUCUGGUGGAAAGGUUUUUUUCUGGUGGGGGAUGGGCUCGCGGCCUAUCAGCUUGUUGGUGGGGUGAUGGCCCACCAAGGCUUUGACGGGUAGCCGGCCUGAGAGGCUGACCGGUCACAGUGGGACGGAGAUACGGCCCAGACUACGACGGGGGGCAGCAGUGUGGAAUAUUGCACAAUGCGCGCAAGCCUGAUGCAGCGACGGCGCGUGAGGGAUGGGGGCCUUCGGGUUGUGAAGCUCUGUAGCCCGUGGUCAAGCCGCGACGUGGGUCGUGGUGAGGGUAGUGAAUAAAGAAGCGCCGGCUAACUACGUG